AUUGGGCGUAAGCGAGCGCAGGCGGUCUUUUAAGUCUAAUGUGAAAGCCUUCGGCUCAMCCGAAGAAGUGCAUUGGAAACUGGGAGACUUGAGUGCAGAAGAGGACAGUGGAACUCCAUGUGUAGCGGUGAAAUGCGUAGAUAUAUGGAAGAACACCAGUGGCGAAGGCGGCUGUCUGGUCUGCAACUGACGCUGAGGCUCGAAAGCAUGGGUAGCGAACAGGAUUAGAUACCCUGGUAGUCCAUGCCGUAAACGAUGAUUACUAAGUGUUGGAGGGUUUCCGCCCUUCAGUGCUGCAGCUAACGCAUUAAGUAAUCCGCCUGGGGAGUACGACCGCAAGGUUGAAACUCAAAAGAAUUGACGGGGGCCCGCACAAGCGGUGGAGCAUGUGGUUUAAUUCGAAGCUACGCGAAGAACCUUACCAGGUCUUGACAUCUUCUGACAGUCUAAGAGAUUAGAGGUUCCCUUCGGGGACAGAAUGACAGGUGGUGCAUGGUUGUCGUCAGCUCGUGUCGUGAGAUGUUGGGUUAAGUCCCGCAACGAGCGCAACCCUUAUUACUAGUUGCCAGCAUUAAGUUGGGCACUCUAGUGAGACUGCCGGUGACAAACCGGAGGAAGGUGGGGACGACGUCAAAUCAUCAUGCCCCUUAUGACCUGGGCUACACACGUGCUACAAUGGAUGGUACAACGAGUCGCGAGACCGCGAGGUUAAGCUAAUCUCUUAAAACCAUUCUCAGUUCGGACUGUAGGCUGCAACUCGCCUACACGAAGUCGGAAUCGCUAGUAAUCGCGGAUCAGCAUGCCGCGGUGAAUACGUUCCCGGGCCUUGUACACACCGCCCGUCACACCAUGAGAGUUUGUAACACCCA
rnacentral:rRNA from 1 species